ACUUUUAUUCCUGUAUUGCAAUAGCUUUUGCAUUGGUAUCUAGGUACAACAGGGUAUAUUAGCUAACAUAGAUAAUACAAGAGUUAUAAAAUAGAUAGAUCGGCUUAGUAUAUUGGGAUUAAACAAUUUAGGUUUUGAAAUAUUGUUUUUACAUUCGUCAAACAUUUGAAAUAGCCGGGACAAAGUCUGGACAGUUUAAUUUUAG